CACGUAGGGGACGAGCGUUGUCCGGAUUCAUUGGGCGUAAAGCGCGCGUAGGCGGCUCGGAAAGUCGGUCGUGAAAUGCCGGGGCUCAACCCCGGGACUGCGUCCGAUACUCCCGAGCUGGAGGCAGGUAGGGGAGAUCGGAAUUCCUGGUGUAGCGGUGAAAUGCGCAGAUAUCAGGAGGAACACCGGUGGCGAAGGCGGAUCUCUGGGCCUUGCCUGACGCUGAGGCGCGAAAGCGUGGGGAGCAAACGGG
rnacentral:rRNA from 1 species